GAUGAACGCUGGCGGCGUGCCUAAUACAUGCAAGUCGAGCGAACAGACGAGGAGCUUGCUCCUCUGACGUUAGCGGCGGACGGGUGAGUAACACGUGGAUAACCUACCUAUAAGACUGGGAUAACUUCGGGAAACCGGAGCUAAUACCGGAUAAUAUAUUGAACCGCAUGGUUCAAUAGUGAAAGACGGUUUUGCUGUCACUUAUAGAUGGAUCCGCGCCGCAUUAGCUAGUUGGUAAGGUAACGGCUUACCAAGGCAACGAUGCGUAGCCGACCUGAGAGAGUGAUCGGCCACACUGGAACUGAGACACGGUCCAUACUCCUACGGGAGGCAGCAGUAGGGAAUCUUCCGCAAUGGGCGAAAGCCUGACGGAGCAACGCCGCGUGAGUGAUGAAGGUCUUCGGAUCGUAAAACUCUGUUAUUAGGGAAGAACAAAUGUGUAAGUAACUAUGCACGUCUUGACGGUACCUAAUCAGAAAGCCACGGCUAACUACGUG
rnacentral:rRNA from 1 species